rnacentral:rRNA from 1 species
AACAAACGCUGGCGGCGUGCCUAAUACAUGCAAGUCGAACGGGGAAAGCUUUCGGGUGAGUACUAGUGGCGCACGGGUGAGGAACGCGUGGAUAAUCUGCCUUAGAGUGGGGGAUAACUAGUCGAAAGAUUAGCUAAUACCGCAUAAGACCACGAGAGCUGCGGCUUUUGAGGUCAAAGGUUUUUCGCUCUAAGAUGAGUCCGCGUAAGAUUAGCUAGUUGGUGAGGUAACGGCUCACCAAGGCGACGAUCUUUAACUGGUCUGAGAGGAUGAUCAGUCACACUGGAACUGAGACACGGUCCAGACUCCUACGGGAGGCAGCAGUAGGGAAUAGUGCACAAUGGAGGAAACUCUGAUGCAGCGACGCCGCGUGAGAGAUGAAGGCCUUCGGGUCGUAAAGCUCUGUCGCAGGGGAAUAACACAAUGAAGGUACCCUGUAAGAAAGGAUCGGCUAACUUCGUG